UACGUAGGGGGCAAGCGUUAUCCGGAUUUACUGGGUGUAAAGGGAGCGCAGACGGAACUGCAAGUCUGAUGUGAAAGCCCGGGGCUCAACCGCGGGACUGCAUCGGAUACUGUGGAUCUGGAGUGCCGGAGGGGCAAGCGGAAUUCCUGGUGUAGCGGUGAAAUGCGUAGAUAUCAGGAGGAACACCGGCGGCGAAGGCGGCUUGCUGGACGGCAACUGACGUUGAGGCUCGAAAGCGUGUGGAGCAAACAGGAUUAGAUA
rnacentral:rRNA from 1 species